rnacentral:rRNA from 1 species
CAGUCGCCGCGGUAAUACGUAGGGUGCAAGCGUUAAUCGGAAUUACUGGGCGUAAAGCGUGCGCAGGCGGUUAUAUAAGACAGAUGUGAAAUCCCCGGGCUCAACCUGGGAACUGCCUUUGUGACUGCAAGGCUAGAGUACGGCAGAGGGGGAUGGAAUUCCGCGUGUAGCAGUGAAAUGCGUAGAUAUGCGGAGGAACACCGAUGGCGAAGGCAAUCCCCUGGGCCUGUACUGACGCUCAUGCACGAAAGCGUGGGGAGCAAACAGGAUUAGAUACCCCAGUAGUCCCUGUCUCUUAUAA